rnacentral:rRNA from 1 species
GAUUAACGCUAGCGGCAGGCCUAAUACAUGCAAGUCGCACGGGAUUUCGGGUAGCAAUAUCUGAAUGAGAGUGGCGCACGGGUGCGUAACACGUAUGCAAUCUACCUUUAACUGGGGAAUAGCUCACCGAAAGGUGAAUUAAUACCGCAUAAAAUCACAGAAGGACAUCCUUCAAUGAUUAAACCUACGGGGGUUAAGAUGAGCAUGCGUCCGAUUAGCUAGUUGGCGGGGUAAUAGCCCACCAAGGCAACGAUCGGUAGGGGGUCUGAGAGGAUGAU